AGCUCCAAUAGCGUAUAUUAAAGUUGUUGCAGUUAAAAAGCUCGUAGUUGAACUUCUUGGCAUCCUUUAAGCUGGCUUCGGUCGUUUCAAGGGUGUCAAUCCGCUAGGGAACUACAUUCGCACUUCACUGUGCGGUGUAAGGAACUGGCAUUUUACUUAGAAAAAAUUAGAGUGUUCAAGGCAGGCUAUCGCCCUGAAUACACAAGCUUGGAAUAAUGAAAUAGGACUAUUUCCAUUUUAUUGGUUAUUGGAUUUAGUAAUGAUUAAUAGGGACAGUUGGGGGCAUUUGUAUUUAAUAGUCAGAGGUGAAAUUCUUGGAUUUAUUAAAGACAAACUUAUGCGAAAGCAUUUGCCAAGGAUGUUUUCAUUA
rnacentral:rRNA from 1 species